GACGAACGCUGGCGGCGUGCUUAACACAUGCAAGUCGAACGGAAAGGCCCUUCGGGGUACUCGAGUGGCGAACGGGUGAGUAACACGUGGGUGAUCUGCCCUGCACUUUGGGAUAAGCCUGGGAAACUGGGUCUAAUACCGAAUAGGACCACGCGCUUCAUGGUGUGUGGUGGAAAGCUUUUGCGGUGUGGGAUGGGCCCGCGGCCUAUCAGCUUGUUGGUGGGGUAAUGGCCUCCCAAGGCGACGACGGGUAGCCGGCCUGAGAGGGUGACCGGCCACACUGGGACUGAGAUACGGCCCAGACUCCUACGGGAGGCAGCAGUGGGGAAUAUUGCACAAUGGGCGCAAGCCUGAUGCAGCGACGCCGCGUGAGGGAUGACGGCCUUCGGGUUGUAAACCUCUUUCAAUAGGGACGAAGCGCAAGUGACGGUACCUAUAGAAGAAGCACCGGCCAACUACGUG
rnacentral:rRNA from 1 species